UACGUAGGAUGCAAGCGUUGUCCGGAAUCAUUGGGUUUAAAGGGUCCGUAGGCGGUUUUGUAAGUCAGUGGUGAAAGCCCAUCGCUCAACGGUGGAACGGCCAUUGAUACUGCAAGACUUGAAUUAUUGGGAAGUAACUAGAAUAUGUAGUGUAGCGGUGAAAUGCUUAGAGGUUACAUGGAAUACCAAUUGCGAAGGCAGGUUACUACCAAUAUAUUGACGCUGAUGGACGAAAGCGUGGGGAGCGAACAGG
rnacentral:rRNA from 1 species